rnacentral:lncRNA from 1 species
AUGCCCCUCAGUGUCUCCUGGAGCAUCCAAACCCCCAGACAUCCCCAGGAACUGGGGCUGUCCGAGCCUGUCGGGCGCUGCUGGGCAGUGAGGGGCAGGGUGGACACCAGGGUCAGUCAGCACAGGGUGGCCUGUCCCCUCCAGAUCAGCACUGCUGGCAUUAAACCACGGCCCUCAGAGCCUGAGGAUCCCAAGGGGAAAGGGAUGAGGGGCAGCAGGAGCACUCCCUGCACCGAGGGGCCUUCCUGGGGACACCCAGCGUGGGCCAGCAGUGCUGGCCAGCCCAGCUGGGUGGUGCGAGCCGUAAGAUUUGGGGUUUUACCCCCGAGAUAUCUGCCGUCUGGAAAAGCACUGAGAAGAGCAGUGUUCCCAGCAGAGGAGCUACUCUGCAGGUUGGGAGAGGGGCCUGUUAACAUCCCAGGGCCCUGGAGCAGCUGCAGGCUGGAAUUCUGUCCUGACCCACACCCUCGCAGCUCAGGGGGAAGCUCUCUGAGCACCCAUCCCUCUCCUCCCCGGUGGUGCUGCCCUGCGAGGGACGGCCUGCCGGGGACAAAAAGGGUCAGGGGGACCCUUAUUCCCCAGAGCUGCCCCACAAAAGGAACCUCUCCUAUCCUAAAAUGGGAUUUUUUUUUUUCUCCCCUCUGUUCCAGUGAGCGGCUCCAGGUGUCAACCGAGCAAAGUCAGGAUCAGCUGCAGUUAUUCCAGAGUACACAUCCACAUGCAGAAUAUUCCAGAGCAGGCCUCCUCCGCAUCAGUCAUCAGCUUCAAUUACCAGUUUUCCGGAGCCGAGCCAUCAGGCAGUCUGACACGAGGGUCCAACCUAAUUCCCACCUUCUCCAAAGUCAAGAGCAUAAUGUGCAGAUGAAAAGGUGGAAAAUAGCCUGGACUUCAUUAGCAUGCAGAGCCCGGCUGUUCAUUUGCUUGCUGCGAAUGGAAGUUCUGACACUCGGCGCCUUCUGCAAUAUGAGAAAAGUCCUCUUCAGAGUAUAUGAUGUCCUCACCAGCCAGCAAAGGUCAUCAAAAAGGCAGGCGCUGACCUUGCUCCCUGCUCUUCAUGACUAGUUUAUUGAUUCCAGGAACACCUCAUUACAUGCCGGAUCAACAUAUUAUUGCCAUGUUCAGCGGCUGAAUUGUUUACAAGUGUCUUUAUAACCAGCAAAAAGCCUUCUGGAUGAUGCAUGACUACACUCAUUUGGAUGUGACCUGCCAAUUAGAUGUUAUCCGAUCCGGUGCCGUGUGUCCUGAUCCCUGACCGGGCCCGCUGCCCUGCAUCAGCACGGGCCCAUUUACUACUUCUUUCGAACGGCUCUUUGGCAAAGUGUCCAUUAGCCUGUCAGUCUGUAAAUAUUUUAUUUUUUUUUUUUACCUGGCGGAGGCGCCGCCAGCGCUGCCGCUCUGUCAUUUGCUAUGCAUGAGGUUGAUAAUCAGCUGGGGGAGGCGAGGGGGUGUUUUAUGGCGGCGUCUGAUGGCCCACCCCAUUUGCAGUCAGCGUGCGUGGCCCGCGCUCCCAACGCCGCGUGCCGCCCCGCCGCAGGGACCCGGAAUAUUUUAUCCCGGCACCGCCAGGCCGCUGAUUUAUCUGCGGGGGGAAGGCAGGAACCAACCCCCCCCUGCUCAGCCUCCCCCUGCCCUGCCUCCAAAGGCCCCAUAACUUACCACCCAGCAAACGCAUUUCCCCCUUCUCCGUCUUUCCGGCGCUUUGCGUCCUCCCUGGGUAAUAUAUCGCACGGCGUUAUUCAUCCCGGCCCGCAGCCCCGGCUAUUUACACGCACGGAGACGCGAGAACUUCAAAAAUAAAUCACGGGGCACGACUACUAUUUUAAUCUCU